GCGCCACUUGCUUGUCUUCCUCUCCAGUUUUGGUGAGAAAAACCUACGUGGACCCCAGAGACCUGUGGAAAGUCGAGACAUCCCUUGGCCUGAUCCAACAAGUCUACCCAAAGCUGCAGUUCUACGUCGUGACGGAGGUUUUUGAGAUAAUGGAGCCGCUGCUGAUUGAAGAGACAGUCCAAGGAGGAGGCAAAGGAGAAGUGACUGCAGUGGAGAUUUUUAAGAUACAGGGUCUGGACACGAGAACGAAAAGGAAGUACCUGAAGAUUCCCCAUGGCACAGUGGUAGCCUAUGUGGUCCAGAAGCUCCACACUCUUGAGGAAGAC